rnacentral:tRNA from 1 species
GGGCGGGUAGCCUAGCUAGGAUAUGGCGCAGGCCUCCUAAGCCUGAGGUCGGGGGUUCGAAUCCCUCCCCGCCCG